rnacentral:rRNA from 1 species
AUACGUAGGUCCCAAGCGUUGCGCGAUCUCACUGGGCGUAAAGCGUCCCCAGCCGGUCCGGUAAGCGGAUUGUCAAAACCCGCGGCUCAACCGCGGUAGGGCAACCCGAACUGCCGGACUUGAGGCAAGCCCAGGCAGGCGGAAUUCCCGGUGUAGCGGUGAAAUGCGUAGAUAUCAGGAGGAACACCAAAGGGGAAGCCAGCCUGCUGGGGCUGCCCUGACGGUCACGGACGAAAGCUGGGGGAGCAAACCGGAUUAGAAACCCUAGUAGUCC